AGAGACUAAUAGUUAAGAUCUUGAAAUUUAAAGAAUUUGGCGGUAAAUUAAUUUAUCUAGAGGAAUUUGUUACUUAAUGGGAUACUACACCUUUAAUCUUACCUCAAUUUGUAUGGUUUGUAUGUCGCCGUUUAGAAUAUUUUUAUUGAACUAAUUUUCUAUUAAUUUUAAACAUAAUUGUAAAAUCAGGUCAAGGUGCAGCUUUAUUGAGGGGAUGAAUGAAUUACAUUUUUUAGUAAAAAGUUUUAAUGGAUAAUUUUUCUGUAAUGAUAGUUUGAAGGAGGAUUUAGAAGUAAAAUUUAUGAUUAGUAAGCAAUUUUGAAUAAUUAAUACUAAUUUAUGUACACA
rnacentral:rRNA from 1 species